rnacentral:rRNA from 1 species
AGAUACCCUAUUAUAAAAAUUUAAAUUAAUUUACUAAAAAAUUAAUAGUUAUGUUCUUUAAAUUUAAAAAAUUUGGCGGUAUUUUAGUCUUAUUAGAGGAAUCUGUUUAUUAAUUGAUAAUCCACGAUUAAUUUUACUUAUUUUAUUUAAUUCAUAUAUCGCUGUCAUGAAUAUAUUUAAAAAUUUAUUUUCUUUAAUUAUUUUAAUAAUUUAUGUUAAGUCAAGAUGUGGUUUAUAAAUAAGAAUAUAAUGGGUUACAUUAAAUUUUAUUUUUGGAUUUAAAAUGAAAAUUAAAAUGAAAUUGGAUUUAAUAGUAAGUUUAAUUAAUUUAUUAGUAUGAAUAAAGAUCUAAAUUAU